GCAAGUCUGGUGCCAGCAGCCGCGGUAAUUCCAGCUCCAAUAGCGUAUAUUAAAGUUGUUGCAGUUAAAAAGCUCGUAGUUGAACCUUGGGCCUGGCUGGCCGGUCCGCCUCACCGCGUGUACUGGUCCGGCCGGGCCUUUCCCUCUGUGGAACCCCAUGCCCUUCACUGGGUGUGGCGGGGAAACAGGACUUUUACUUUGAAAAAAUUAGAGUGCUCCAGGCAGGCCUAUGCUCGAAUACAUUAGCAUGGAAUAAUAGAAUAGGACGUGUGGUUCUAUUUUGUUGGUUUCUAGGACCGCCGUAAUGAUUAAUAGGGACAGUCGGGGGCAUCAGUAUUCAAUUGUCAGAGGUGAAAUUCUUGGAUUUAUUGAAGACUAACUACUGCGAAAGCAUUGCCAA
rnacentral:rRNA from 1 species